AAAAUUUUAACUUUAUUGAAAUUUUCACGAGUUUUAGCUUGGCAGCCAACGUGUUAAUAAACUUCUUCCUGUAGUCGGUAAUGACUUGAUUUGCGCGCUGAAAGUGCUGAAAGAAGUUUUUUGCUCGCGACACUCGUGUCAGUAACGUUCUGCGAGUCGAUCCGUCAACAACGAUACAAAUGUACCACGUGAAACCGUUAAAUCUGUUCUUCUUUAAGCCGGCGACUGACUUGCAACAGAACAUUGUAAUGUAACGCGAGGAUUCGCUUAAUUUGGACGAACUCUUGCGUUCGACCGUGCUCCUCUGGUCUGUCGGUUUUUUGACGAACCUCUUUGGUCGUCUACUUCUCACUGAACUGAGUGGGAAGCAUCGAGAGAGAAUUCAGCCGAGAGUGCGAAGCGAGCAUUCGUGAUUCCAAAAACAACCUUGUAAUGUAACGCUGGUGCCGAACCGUACAAUUCGCGCCGAGCAGUUACAUUACAGCGUUCGGUUGCAAGUCAGUCACCGGCUUUAACAACCACGCCCAAAAAGUAUGAAAGUAUCCCCACAUUCCUUUUUUACAUGGCGAGUAUUCAACGAAUAAUUAUGUAUUUAUUAUGUAAACGAAACUUCGAAACGAACGUGCUUAGUGUUAGAGACCCGUCACACCGUGGCCCUCCGUGAUUAAUUAACAUUAACAAUCCAGUGUAUCGCUUUUAUCGAAUACAAUUUAUCUGGACGCUCGACAAAAGGCGUCCCCUCAAUGGUAUUCGUAUAUAUACAUAUAUUUAAUAAGUGCGUUUCUUUUGUCGUGUUUCAAUCUUUCCAAGCAUUUUGUUUUGUUUUCCUUAUUUUUAAUUACUAUUACGGAAUUGUAACAUGAUUGUAGACGCGCUGUGGGCCGUCACGAGUGUCCACACAAUAUGUUUAGAUUUAUUGUGACUGUGCGCCGAGAAAAAUUGUUAGCGCGAUGGCGUGAAAACGGGAGCGUUCACGAUGCGUUAUUAAAUAUGUAUAAAAUGAAAGGAAAUGAAUUGUUAGGUAGGCCAAGAAUUUUUAACGUAUAAAAUGUCUUCGAAUCGUGGCUCCUCGUCGGCUGUAAUUUAAUGCGUAAUGUAAGUUACAUGCGAUACGACGGAUGUACAAGUGGAAUCAGAGAUUGGGAAAAUUGUAUCGAUGAACUAUUUUUAAUCUCUAAUUUUGUUCGGUGUGAAUUACAAUUUAAAUUGUAGGAUGAAAUUGUAUUUCACGUUAAACGAAUAAGUACUUGUACGAAUGAAUCGCUAUGUUGUGCUUCUAUUCGUCGUCUACGAUUUAAACAAUAUUUUUCCCAUCUCUGAACGGAGUAUUUCCCAGUACGAUAUCAUACUGAUGCGUGAAUUAUAACGUACUUUAUCGAUCGUAUACCUACGAUAUUGUUUGACGUAGUCUUUUUUUU